rnacentral:rRNA from 1 species
CAGUAGCCGCGGGAAUACGUAGGUGGCAAGCGUUGUCCGGAAUUAUUGGGCGUAAAGGGCUCGCAGGCGGUUUCUUAAGUCUGAUGUGAAAGCCCCCGGCUCAACCGGGGAGGGUCAUUGGAAACUGGGAAACUUGAGUGCAGAAGAGGAGAGUGGAAUUCCACGUGUAGCGGUGAAAUGCGUAGAGAUGUGGAGGAACACCAGUGGCGAAGGCGACUCUCUGGUCUGUAACUGACGCUGAGGAGCGAAAGCGUGGGGAGCGGACAGGAUUAGAUACCCCAGUAGUCCCUGUCUCUUAUAC